UGAUGUCACACUGCCAAGAAAAGCUUCUAGUGAGAAAGUAACUGCCCGUACCGCAAACCGACACAGGUAGUUGAGGAGAGAAUCCUAAGGUGUGCGAGAGAACUCUCGUUAAGGAACUCGGCAAAAUGACCCCGUAACUUCGGGAGAAGGGGUGCUGACCGCAAGGUCAGCCGCAGUGAAUAGGCCCAAGCGACUGUUUAUCAAAAACACAGGUCUCUGCAAAAUCGAAAGAUGACGUAUAGGGGCUGACGCCUGCCCGGUGCUGGAAGGUUAAGAGGAGAGGUUAGCGCAAGCGAAGCUUUGAAUUGAAGCCCCAGUAAACGGCGGCCGUAACUAUAACGGUCCUAAGGUAGCGAAAUUCCUUGUCGGGUAAGUUCCGACCCGCACGAAAGGCGUAACGAUUUGGGCACUGUCUCAACGAGAGACUCGGUGAAAUUAUAGUACCAGUGAAGAUGCUGGUUACCCGCGACAGGACGGAAAGACCCCAUGGAGCUUUACUGCAGUUUGAUAUUGCGUGUUUGUAUCACAUGUACAGGAUAGGUAGGAGCCGAAGAUUCCGGGACGCCAGUCUCGGAGGAGGCAACGGUGGGAUACUACCCUUGUGAUAUGACCACUCUAACCCGCUGCUCUUAGCGAGCAGGGAGACAGUGUCAGACGGGCAGUUUGACUGGGGCGGUCGCCUCCAAAAAUGUAACGGAGGCGCCCAAAGGUUCCCUCAGAAUGGUUGGAAAUCAUUCGUAGAGUGUAAAGGCAGAAGGGAGCUUGACUGUGAGACCUACAAGUCGAGCAGGGACGAAAGUCGGGCUUAGUGAUCCGGUGGUUCCGCAUGGAAGGGCCGUCGCUCAACGGAUAAAAGCUACCCUGGGGAUAACAGGCUUAUCUCCCCCAAGAGUUCACAUCGACGGGGAGGUUUGGCACCUCGAUGUCGGCUCAUCGCAUCCUGGGGCUGUAGUCGGUCCCAAGGGUUGGGCUGUUCGCCCAUUAAAGCGGUACGCGAGCUGGGUUCAGAACGUCGUGAGACAGUUCGGUCCCUAUCCGUCGCGGGCGUUGGAAAUUUGAGAGGAGCUGUCCUUAGUACGAGAGGACCGGGAUGGACACACCGCUGGUGUACCAGUUGUUCUGCCAAGAGCAUCGCUGGGUAGCUAUGUGUGGACGGGAUAAACGCUGAAAGCAUCUAAGCGUGAAGCCCCCCUCAAGAUGAGAUUUCCCAUCACUUUAAGUGAGUAAGACCCCUGAGAGAUGAUCAGGUAGAUAGGUUGGGAGUGGAAGUACAGCGAUGUAUGGAGCGGACCAAUACUAAUCGGUCGAGGACUUAAU
rnacentral:rRNA from 1 species